AUUAAACCUGCGCAUUAUUAGAAUGAACUUUACGCACCAAACAGGACGUGAAAAGAAAAAUGGGCACGUGGAUAAAACUGGACGUUAAUGUUGUUUUUUAUCAGUCAUACAACUUCUUUAGAGAGCCCAUUUCAAUGCUCACACUUAAAAACGAAUUAGAACGUGUUGUGUGCGUAACGUGGCGUCUUAGUAACCAUGGAAACGAUUCAAAGUCGAUCACCUGAUGACCUUUAUAGUUUUUUGUGAAGCGAGAGACGGAAAGAGGAGAGCUGUGUAGAAAAGUCAUCACUAGACCUCUAAGUACCAGGACCAGGACCAGGACCACGCAUGGGACAAAGUUGGUUCAAAGGCUUGCACAGACCUCCAGGAGCACCUGAGCAGGAACUUCCUGAUCCAGAUGUGGAGGAUGCUGAGAUUGACGUGGACUUAGAGACCUCUGAGGAUGAAUGUGUGAAUCUGGAAUCCUCCGAGGAUUCCGCUUCCUCCGAUUUGGGAAUCAUUGCCAUAAGUGACAGUGAAUCUGAUGAUGAAGGUAUUGAUCUGAACUUUUGUGAGGAAUCCUCAGAGGAAUCCGUUUUUUCAGUCUUUGAGGUCAGUGACUCUGAAGAUGAAGGUGGUGGAGUUCUGGACGUUGAAUCGGAACCCAUAGGAGUCUGAUUCUUCUUUCUUCUCCUUCUCUGUCAACGGUGACUCUGAGGAUGAAGUGUGAGUUGCAGACAUCAGCCAGGAGUCUUCCCAGGAGUCACCACGUGGUAUCAGCGCCUCCAGAAAGAGGAGCAGAGAGGAUUCAGAUAGAGUGAGAUCUGAUUUGGAUGAAUCGAGUUCUGAUGGUGCUGCAUUAGUCAAAGCACAGGACGGUUCUCUCUGGAACCUCCAUUGUCGAAGAGGCCGUGGUUGGAUGACAGCUCCGUCUGAUGAUAAUUGGAUCACCUUGGUGAUGAAAGCAUUGUAAGCAAAGAUAAUGAACACGCGUUUAUUGUAAAAAAAAAAAAGCGCUACUUUGUCCUAAUGCCUGUAAAAUGUCAGACAGUAGCACUAGACAUCCACUGAUGGAGGAGAAGAAGAAAGCUGGACUGGAACCCACUGAGGUGUCCCCCAAACAGCCUGAGGAGGAAACAUCAGCACAGGACACAAAUACUUCUAUUAACUAAAACAACAUAAGCAAAGCCUCUCAUUUACACAGAGAGAGUCUGAACACAUGUUUAAUGUGAAAUUAAAUGUUACUUUGUACUGUUGUCUGUUAAUUGUCUGGUGUGUUUUUUGCAGAGAUUUGCUUCAGAGGAGAAUCAGACAGUUCCAGAUGUUCAUCACAGCAGCAGAGAAUGAAACACCAUAACUGCAGCAUUUACACACUGACUGCUUUGGUUGAAACUUUAUAAAAACUAAUGAACUCAAGGCAAGGCAAGGCAAAUUUAUUUGUAUUGCGCAUUUCACACUCAAGGCAACUCUAUGUGCUUCACAUGAUAAAACAUUCAAUUGUUUAAAAUCAAUAAGAACAUUUAAAAUCAUCAGUAAAAAUCAAUUAAAAUCAUCAGUAAAAUCAAUUAAAAUCAUCAGUAAAAUCAAUUAAAAUCAUCAGUAAAAUCAUCAACAAACACAUGACAUCAUCAAC
rnacentral:lncRNA from 1 species